UCCCUAUUGUUCAGUUGGUAAAGAAUCUGCCUGCAAUGCAGGAGACCUGGGUUCAAUUCCUGGGUUGGGGA
rnacentral:tRNA from 1 species